AGAGUUUGAUCCUGGCUCAGAUUGAACGCUGGCGGCAGGCCUAACACAUGCAAGUCGAGCGGUAGAGAGAAGCUUGCUUCUCUUAAGAGCGGCGGACGGGUGAGUAAUGCCUAGGAAUCUGCCUGGUAGUGGGGGAUAACGCUCGGAAACGGACGCUAAUACCGCAUACGUCCUACGGGAGAAAGCAGGGGACCUUCGGGCCUUGCGCUAUCAGAUGAGCCUAGGUCGGAUUAGCUAGUUGGUGAGGUAAUGGCUCACCAAGGCGACGAUCCGUAACUGGUCUGAGAGGAUGAUCAGUCACACUGGAACUGAGACACGGUCCAGACUCCUACGGGAGGCAGCAGUGGGGAAUAUUGGACAAUGGGCGAAAGCCUGAUCCAGCCAUGCCGCGUGUGUGAAGAAGGUCUUCGGAUUGUAAAGCACUUUAAGUUGGGAGGAAGGGCAGUAAAUUAAUACUUUGCUGUUUUGACGUUACCGACAGAAUAAGCACCGGCUAACUCUGUGCCAGCAGCCGCGGUAAUACAGAGGGUGCAAGCGUUAAUCGGAAUUACUGGGCGUAAAGCGCGCGUAGGUGGUUCGUUAAGUUGGAU
rnacentral:rRNA from 1 species